rnacentral:miRNA from 1 species
GAGGUGGGAGGAUCGCUUGAGCCUGGGAAGCAGAGGAUGCAGUGAGCUGAGAUCACACCACUGCACUCCAGCCUGAGUGACAGAGCGAGACCCUGUCUC